GACGAACCGAGCGAACGUUGCUCGGAAUCACUGGGCUUAAAGGGCGCGUAGGCGGGCUGCCGCGUCCGGGGUGAAAUCCCACGGCUCAACCGUGGAACGGCCCCGGGUACGGGCGGCCUCGAGGAAGGUAGGGGCGUGCGGAACUGUGGGUGGAGCGGUGAAAUGCGUUGAUAUCCACAGGAACUCCGGUGGCGAAGGCGGCACGCUGGACCUUUUCUGACGCUGAGGCGCGAAAGCCAGGGGAGCGAACGGG
rnacentral:rRNA from 1 species